UACAGAGGGUGCAAGCGUUGUUCGGAAUUAUUGGGCGUAAAGGGAGUGUAGGCGGUUCGUUAAGUCUUCUGUGAAAUCUCCGGGCUUAACUCGGAGUCUGCAGGGGAAACUGCCGCGCUUGAGUGUGGGAGAGGUGAGUGGAAUUCCUGGUGUAGCAGUGAAAUGCGUAGAUAUCAGGAGGAACACCGAUGGCGAAGGCAGGUCUCUGGGCUGACACUGACGCUCAUGCACGAAAGCGUGGGGAGCAAACAGG
rnacentral:rRNA from 1 species